UACGAAGGGUGCAAGCGUUACUCGGAAUUACUGGGCGUAAAGCGUGCGUAGGUGGUGAGUUAAGUCUGAUGUGAAAUCCCCGGGCUCAACCUGGGAAUGGCAUUGGAUACUGGCUCGCUAGAGUGCGGUAGAGGGUGGUGGAAUUCCGCGUGUAGCAGUGAAAUGCGUAGAGAUGCGGAGGAACACCGAUGGCGAAGGCAGCCCCCUGGGCUAACACUGACGCUCAGGCACGAAAGCGUGGGGAGCAAACAGG
rnacentral:rRNA from 1 species